rnacentral:rRNA from 2 species
GGGCCAUCGCUCAACGGAUAAAAGCUACCCUGGGGAUAACAGGCUUAUCUCCCCCAAGAGUCCACAUCGACGGGGAGGUUUGGCACCUCGAUGUCGGCUCAUCGCAUCCUGGGGCUGUAGUCGGUCCCAAGGGUUGGGCUGUUCGCCCAUUAAAGCGGUACGCGAGCUGGGUUCAGAACGUCGUGAGACAGUUCGGUCCCUAUCCGUCGCGGGCGUAGGAAAUUUGAGAGGACCUGUCCUUAGUACGAGAGGACCGGGAUGGACAUACCGCUGGUGUACCAGUUGUUCCGCCAGGAGCACCGCUGGGUAGCUAUGUAUGGACGAGAUAAACGCUGAAAGCAUCUAAGUGUGAAACUCGCCUCGAGAUGAGAUUUCCCAUUUCCUUCGGGAAAGUAAGACYCCUCAGAGAUGAUGAGGUAGAUAGGAUGGAAGUGGAAGUGCCGUGAGGCAUGGAGCGGACCAUUACUAAUCGGUCGAGGACUUAACCAAG